rnacentral:rRNA from 1 species
GAUGAACGCUGGCGGCGUGCCUAAUACAUGCAAGUCGAACGCUGGAACUCUAGCUUGCUAGAUUGAAGGAGUGGCGAACGGGUGAGUAAUACAUAAGCAACCUACCCACGAAGACUGGGAUAAUCUCUGGAAACGGGGACUAAUACCGGAUAGGUAAUCGGAAGGCAUCUUCUGAUUAUUAAAGGUUAAAAACACUGGUGGAUGGGCUUAUGGCGCAUUAGUUAGUUGGUGAGGUAACGGCCCACCAAGACGAUGAUGCGUAGCCGGCCUGAGAGGGUGAACGGCCACAUUGGGACUGAGACACGGCCCAGACUACUACGUGAGGCAGCAGUAGGGAAUUUGCGGCAAUGGGGGAAACCCUGACCGAGCAACGCCGCGUGAGUGAUCACGGCCUUCGGGUUGUAAAGCUCUGUUGUAAGGGAAGAACGGUAGAUAGAGAAUAUCUAAAUGACGUUACCUUAACAGAAAGCCACGGCUAACUACGUG